UACGUAGGGGGCAAGCGUUGUCCGGAAUUAUUGGGCGUAAAGCGCGCGCAGGCGGUUCAUUAAGUCUGGGGUUUAAGCCCGGGGCUCAACCCCGGAUCGCUUUGGAAACUGGUGGACUUGAGUGCAGGAGAGGGAAGCGGAAUUCCACGUGUAGCGGUGAAAUGCGUAGAGAUGUGGAGGAACACCAGUGGCGAAGGCGGCUUCCUGGCCUGUAACUGACGCUGAGGCGCGAAAGCGUGGGGAGCAAACAGG
rnacentral:rRNA from 1 species